UGAGGGAGGGGGACUGUGGAUGGUGGGGGUGGACAAACACUGCCCCCUUUUCCCUCAGUAGAGCUGCUGACCUUGAUUCAUUCUACCCUCAGAGGAAGGUCCUUAGUGGUCCAGGGCUCUUGAGAAUCCUAUAUGCCCCUUGGAAAAGGAUUUUGGGGUGUUAGCCAGAGAGAACAGGAUGUAAAAAUGUUUAAUUGGUUAAUUCAAAAAUCCUAAGUGGCUACUAUAUGCCAGGUCCCUGUGUUAGGUGCUGGAAAUGUCCUCAAUCUCCCAGUCCAAGCACAUAACACUUUGCUCUAGUCCCAGCCUAAAACAUUUUGUCGCCAGACCCCGUUCCUGGCACCACAACCAUCAGCCUGAGCCUCAUUUCUCCCCACCCUCCACUCCUCCCUGACUCAUUGCUACUUUGCUCAGCUGCAGAGCACAUUUUCUAGUGAGCACAGAAGCCUCUGCAAGAAGGGGCCUGAGGAAAAGACCACGGAGAAAAGGCCAGUUUCCCUCAACAUAAGACCUCCAGGGGAAUCUCAAAGAUGUGCUAUAAAGGGUCUGAGCUCAGAGAUUUCCUUUAGAUUCUGGGGUGAGAUGGCUGUACCUUCUAGACCUAGGUCUCUCCUUCCUUCCUUCCCAUGAUUGGAUCAAGGAAUCAAAUUAGGUUGUUUUUUUAAAAUUUUUAUUUUAAGUAGGCUUUAUGCCCAAUGUGGGGCUUGAACUCACAACCCCGAGUCACAUGCUUUACCGACUGAGCCAGUCAGGCACCCCCCAAGUUAGGUUUCUAUCAGAAUAUCUACUUGGGUCUAAGAGUCUUCAUUUAUUUACUUAUCCACCCACCCAUCUACCCAUUUGCUUAUCUAUCCAUCUAUCCAACUAUUCACUCAUUUAUUCUUGUAGGACCUACUCUGUGUCAGGCACUGGGAAGAGAAGGGUGAAUAUGGUAUGGUUGUUGGUCUCUGUGGGCUGUGGGCCUAUUCUUUGGUCCCCAGGGUAUCUCUCUGUGUCUCAGCUACUGCCUCAGAAGCCAGAUCUCCCUUCUUCCCUCACACAGGGUGCCAGGCUCCAGCUGAGGAGGUCUCCCAAUAGGUAACUAGGAGUCCUAAACCAGAGGCCACUGGUAAUCAGGCCCAGACAGGGGAAUGGGGGCCAGGCUAGUGGUUGGAGGGAUGAGGAAGGCACCUGGCCAGGCCACUGAGCCCAUCACUGUGGUUUGGCUCCUUUGGUGAAAAAAUAGCCAGUUUGGACAAGUGUCUCCCUGUGUCCUGAGCUCUGGGUUGCUCCCAGACAGGAGUCGCUCCAUUAAACAAACCACAGCUAAGGGCAACAGGGACCCAGAGAGGACUAGAAGAGAAAGUGGGGACAUGGGGCUCAGGACAGGACUUGAGCCAAGCCUGUCCAUCCCAGGCAUAACGGUGCAAGGGAGGCCUGCUUGGCUAGGUUGUUGCUAUGAGCGUGCAUCACAGGAGCUGCAGGUGAGACUGGAAAGAAGCCAAACCCAGACUCAAGACAAAGACAGAUACACAGACUAUAUCGCUGAGAUAGCCACAGAGGUAAAUAGGGUCAGCAAUCUAGGAUCUGUUUUAGGGCAUUAGCUGAAGAUUCACCCCAAAGUACCCAGAUAGGUAACAGGAGGUUAGCAACAGGGUUGAAAAUAGAAGGUCAUGACAGCCCCGGAGAGAGAGAGAGAGAGAGAGAGUGUGUGUGUGUGUGUGUGUGUGUGUACCCUAUUCAUAUAUGAGUUUGGGUCUUUAUAGUUUCUUUCUUCUAUGUCUUUGACUUCAUUCUAAAAUCAGAAGGACUCGGAGUGGUUUGGGCUUCUCCGGGCCUCUCCUCCCCUUUCCACAUGUGGCUGAGGGCGAGUUAAUGGGACCUGUACACACAGAGGCUCACACAGCCUUGAAGACAGAGGCCCAUUCAUACCAGGACACUGCGGCACCUCUCUCCCAGGCUGGCCUGCGGGCCCACUCCUGCGGCACCAACACGCACAAGUGAGAGACGUGCGCCUUCGCACAUGCAACCUUGCUCUCGAGCACACACAUACAAAGCCACACUCAAGCUCUGUUAACCCCUCACUACCACGUGCAGGGCCUCUGCGCUCUUGGGGUGAGCUCUGGCUUGGCCUUGCUCUAUCCCUUUUACCCAGCAUAGGACCCACCUGAGUUAACCCUUGAACAACCUCCUGGGGACCCCAAGGAGCCCACCGUGGGCUUGCAAAGCCUCCCAGUGCCCAAGAGGGGGAGUGAACACAGCCUCAAUCAAAGAGCAAGAUGGAGACAUUUCUUUCAAGAGCAAGGACAAUUACAGUCUGGGUUCAAGUCACAGCUAUGCCACCUGCAAGGUGUGGGUCCUCAGACAAAUUAUUUAACCCCUCUGAGCAGUGAGAUGAAUAGAGGUAAACUUGAGGUCCACAGAUAAACCUACUAAAAUUAUAUGCAAAACAUGUAGGGUUCUACAUUUUGCUGGAAAGAGGUUUCAGAAGUUUAGCCAUCUUACAGGUCCCUUGAACCCCCUCAAAACUUAAAAAUCGGUGAACUUAUUUAUUUUAUUAUUUUUUAUCAUUUUAUUAUUUUUUCAUGAUGAUAAGUGUACUUUUCAAUCUCCAUCCCCUAUUUCACCCAUCCCUCACCCCCCGUCCCAGUAACCAUCAGUUUGUUCUCUAUAGCUAAGAGUCUGUUUCUUGGUUUGUCUCUCUCUUUUUCCUUGUUUGUUUUGUUUCUUAAAUUCCUCAUAUGAGUGAGAUCAUAUGGUAUUUUGUCUUUCUCUGACUUAUUUCACUUAGCAUAAUACUCUCCAGCUCCAUCCAUGUUGUUGCAAAUGCCAAGAUUUCGUUCUUUUUUACAGUGGAAUAAUAUUCCGUUGUAUAUAUACACCACCUCUUCCAUCUAUCAGUGGACACGUGGGCUGCUUCCAUAGUUUGGCUAUUGUAGAUAAUGCUGCUAUGAGCAUAGAGGUGCUUUGAAUUAGUGUUUUUGUAUUUGGGGGUAAAUACCCAGUAGUGGGAUUACUAGAUCAGUUGCAGGGUAGCUCUAUUUUUAACUUUUUGAGGAAACUCCGUACUGUUUUCCACAGUGGCUGCACCAGUUUGCAUUCCCACCAACAGUGCAAGAGGAACCAGUGAACUUCUUGAACAUUCCAGGACUCUAUAUGAGUUGAGUGCUUGUAAGUGACACAAACGUGGCCAUUGGAAGUCCACUCAAUCAUCUAAGCUCCUCCACCUCUCAGGCAGCUUACUCGACUUUGGACAAGUUACUUCACCUCCCUGGGUGACAUAUUCUGCGUCAGUUUGGAUCAGUUUGGAUACUUCCAGUUGGCUCAAUCUCAUGACCCCAAGAUCACGACCUCAGCUGAAAUCAAGAGUUGGACACUCAACUGACUGAGCCACCGAGGAGCCCCUCCAAGAGUUGCUUUAAAGCAUCCUGGACCCCAGCUCUGUUCUUCCUUUUGAUCUGUGUCACUCAAAAUAAACAAACAACAACAACAACAAAACACCAGCUCCAAGCCCCAGGGGAAAUAAUAUAUUAUCUUCUGCCGGCUCCAUCAAUUAUCCCAGGAGAGAUCAACUUUCCCUGCUGGACUAAAGUUUAAGAGUGUCUUCAGUGGUAUGUGCUUUACCAACCUGAUUCUAUGUGAAUCAAUCCCAAGUCUUGGUGAUGAAAAAAUACAGGAGAUUUCUUACAGGAAAAAACUUUACUUUCGUGGUUAAUAUUGGAACCUACUCUUCCCCACAUGGCUGAUGCUGUGAGCUUCUCUUUGACAUUCUUGCUACACCAUGAGUGGUGCUGCAUACCAAGACUCUGGCAACUUCUAGGUCAACCCCAGCCCCUGGAGAAAUGGGUUCGAAUGGCUCAUCCCUUCUCAUAUUACUGGCACUAUACAACUUAAAGAGUCCACUUGGAUGCCCUUCCAUGGCUCUGCCCAAUGGCUCUGCGAGGUGGUAGGGGGCUUAUUAUUUAUAGUUUACUGGUAAGAGAGCCAGGCUGGAAGACUUGACAUAGUUCACCGGGCUGACAAGUGGGAGAGCUGGGACUUGAAUGCAGGCCUCCCGAAGGCAAGGCCAGUAUUCUUUCGCUGCUGCAGAGUCCCUUCUUGCCUUUGGACCUGGCCCUUGGGAAGGCAUUCCCUGAGAGACCGGGUAGGCCUGUGUCUGCAUGACCACCCCAGCCUGAGCCAGAGCAGAAGCCAGCCAGUGCACAUGAGCAGGGAAGGGCCCUAGCGCCCGGCUCUGACCCUGCCUGGGCUCCUCCGCCAGCAGGGGGACACAGUGGGGAUCCUGGGAAUUGGACCAAAUCCUUAGCUCCAUCUGUAAACCUGACCGCAGUCUCGUUCUGAUCCCUUGAGCUCCAUCCACAACUUGCUGGGUGAAUAUCUCUCUGUUUUCUUUUUCCUUUGGCUUCAGUCUCCUUCCCGUGUCUCUCCUGUCUGUUCGAUUUGAUUUUCCUCUCUCUCCUGGCCUGUUUGUCUCUCUCUCGAUAUCCAGUGCAUCUUGGUUGGUUUGUAUCUCUUGUCGAUGUCUCCUUUCUUUCUCUCCCUCAGUUCCUCCUUCUGAACUUCCUGGGUCACGCAGGCAGGGGGCUGUGCUUCAGCAGUACUGGGGGAGAGGGGCUCCUGAGCCGCCUCCCCCCGCCCCUCCCCCCCCACAGUGCCCUCCACGGGCUGCUGCCCUGCACACCUCACUUGGGCCGAGGCUCCUCUUCACCCUAGCCAGCUCCUCCUUGAUGUGUGGGGCACAGGGAGGCUGUUAGAGCCACUUCUCUGGACACAAAAGCCUCUUUCUCCCCCUCGGAGAUGAGGUUUCCAGGCAGGUUAUUUUUAUAGCAGGGCUCAGGCAGGAUCCUUCAGAGAAAAUAAACAAAGUCACACACACCAGUCCUUCACACCCCUCGGCCCCUUCCCUGGAGAGGGGCCUGGCCUGCUUGUGCCGACACAGGGACGCCCACCGCCCCAGAGGGGCCACAGGGGCUGCUGCGGAGCUGGGAAGAGGCCGUGAGGUCCCAUUGGGGGAGGGGCGCCCGGGAGGGAGAGAGACAAAGAUCCUCUGCAGCUGGCCCCAAGGGGUCCGGGAGGAGAGGGCUGGACCCUGGGGCGGGGGGUGGCCCAUCUCACAAUCUGGGCCAGGGUCUCCAUUCCACAUCAGCAGGGAAGAACCAAAUUCAAAUUCAGAUUUAAGCCCAGUUUUUCUAAAUGCCCACCUGACACCGUGCUUGGAGGCUUCAAGCACGUUUCACUUAUUCCUCCUGCUGGAAUCCAGUAGAAUUCCGUUGGGCAAACUGCCACUCUGUAUCCACUGUCUGUGCCCCGACUUAGGUGCUGGAGAGACAAGGACGAAUGAGAUGCACAGGGGGCUGUCCUCAGAGAGCUUCCCAACUGGCGCGGGUCUCGAUUCCUCAGUACAAGAACUUGAGGCAGGUAGUGUUAUACUCAUUUUGCAGAUAAGAAAACUGAGGUUCAGUGAGGUGAAUGACUCAUCCAGGGGAAGCUUGGGCCUCAGAAGUCAAGGGCAUCAGGGGUCAGGGAUCAGAGAUCUCUUGGGGCAGGUUUCAGCUAAGAGGCUGUAAAGGACAAGAAGCCUGAGCAGGGAUAAAGGAACAAGGCACAGAUCCUGGGGUCCCCGGCCCCCGUCAUUCCAGACCCAGGCUAGGGCACACCAGGUGCCUAAUCCUUGAAGGCAGGCAGCAGGCCUGCGAGGCCUCAUCUAACAGAGCCCCAGAAAGGAAGGCCUUUCAUAACUAGGUUCCCUGGAGUCCCCUCAAAGCUCCUUUAUGAGGCAGCCUGAGGUUAAAAGGACUUUAUAAAUCAUGUGCAUUCCCUGUUAGGUGACAAAAAUACCCACCCCUGCGCGUCCCCGCCCAGCGGGGGCAAACAGAACUCAGGCAAAGCGGGCGUCCACACAGGGGGCCACUGUCCUCACCUCCCCCAGCAGGGUCUGUCCCCGGACUUAGGGCAGCCCAUCGCCCUCUCUGGCCAGGGAAUUCCAGGUACCAGCCAUUCACAGUAAUUACCCUUCGGGAGGAGUGAGCUUCCCCGCCUUCCUCAGCCCCAGCGCUCCCUCAGCCUUUUCAUGACUAAUUGUGGGAUGAAGGAAACUCGUCCCUGGUUCAGAAGUUCCAGGUAUCGGUAGGUAGAGUUCUAGAGAGUUCCUGAAGGGCCAGAGGAGCCCCAAAUAACACAUUCUGGUAUCUAUACUUCUUUGUCUUUAAAACGGAACUGAUAAUCCUUGUGUUGUUGCCCUGUGAAGAGCUUCUACAUAGGCAGUGUUGAGCACUGUGCCUGACACGUAGUGAGCGCUCAAGAAGUCGGAGCUGUGGCUGGCCCUCCUCCUCCCUGGGAACAGGCGAACUAUUCAUUCAUUCAUCCAGUGUUUGUUGAGUGCCUGCGUGUGCUGCGCAUGCGCGGGGCACUGGGGGCUCAGUCUCCUGAGGCCCAGCCUCCAUCCUCUGGGGCUUCACACAGUGGAGGCUGGUCAGACCUCACCCCUGGGACUCCCAGGAUCAGGCAGGGCCCUCCCUUCCCAGCCUGAGCACAGGGCAUCCCCUUUUCAGCCCCCAGUGUACUUCCCAGCCCUCUCCCAGGGUUGCAGUUUGUUGUUUUCAUUCUGCGAGGGGCUGACCUCAGCCUGGUUUAAUGGCCUUUCCUCCUGCGGCCCCUCUCAACUGACACCUGGAAUGCCACUCCGCGCUGCCCUGGCCUCGCUGUCUCUGCUAAUGAGGUUUUCUGACAAAGCCGUGCCUCGCUGGAGUCUGCUCAGAGGGACUGCUGGACUGCAGCCUGGGGCCCCGGGCUCUGUGGGAGGAAGGGGAUGUGGCGAGGGGGGAGGGCCGAGGGAACACACAUCUCUUUCAGAAAAGGCAGAGGACUGGAUGGGGGAGGGAAGGCCCGCUGCUAGUCUAGGCCUCUGGCCACCGGCUGGUCACCGGAAAAGUGAGGCUCACCCCCCGGCUCGGGAGCCAUCUCUGUAGUCAACCAGAGCAAGGGCUGCAGGCGCCAGGACCAGGGGCAGGGGCCUGGAUGUCGAAGGCCGCACCUCGCACAGUGCCUGGCACCACGGGGCCCUGGGUCAAAGUGUGCUGGUGGCCUCUCUCUAGUCUAGAAGACGGCCUUGUGUGUGUCCAGCCCCUGGUCUGUCUCCUCCCAUCUGCUCUGGGGAAGUUUCACGUGCCGCCUCUGCCGGUCUUGGCGGCUCCUGGGGAAGAUUCUAGCUGUUAGGCCAAACUUGAAGGAAGAAGAGGCAGCUCCACAAAGAGCCCUCGAGACCAAAGAGGACUCACCCAGAGAAGAGAAGGUGGCGAGAUGGCCCCGGAAUCGAAGCUUUUCAAGGCCGCAAGGACCCUUAGACCCAGGAAAGGGAACGCGGCUCUCAGGCUCCCUGGAGCCUCUGAUCAAGAGAAGAAUGUAGAAAACGCAGCACAGAACAUCCACAAUCAGUCGACAAGUAUCUAUCAAACACCGGCUCCCUGGGAAACGAGUGCCAAAAGGCCGUUCUUGGCCAGAACUAAAUUCCAAGUUCAAGGAAGUUGCGGCCACGGCCGUGUACUUGUUGCUACUGUGUAUCUGGUGCUGUGCCGGGGGCAGCAUCUCCGUCAGCUUUCCCAACAGCCCUGGGAGGAUGCAGGUGUUGCUGUCAGUGCCCCUCAUUACAGAUGAGGCAAUGGGGUACCAGAGAGGGCAAGUAACCGGCUCAAGGACACACAGCUGGUAAGCAGCAGUGCCAGGAUCAGAACUCAAAGGCUGGCCUUGAGCGUUCUGCUAGACCAUCUGUAGAAGGAGGAGACGCAGGGGCCUGGGAGGAGGUUGAGGAAGCACAGGUUGGAGGUGAGUGGACAACUCCCAUCGGCAAAACAGCUGGAGCAGACGGGACACCAAAGGGAGGACACCAGAUGUCCAGGCAGUGAGUACAUGGGCCUGUGGCAGAAACGGAAAGAUGGAUGGAGAAGGGCUUUGAGUGCCAGGCUGAGGAGUCAGUCUCCGUCCUGUAGGAAAUGGGGAGUUAUGGAGGGCUCUUGAGCAAUUUGAAAUAUGAGAGUCGUGUUUGAGGACAGCAAGGCAGGCCAGAUGUCCGUGUAGGGGACAGACAGAAACUCAGAUGAGGGAGCUGUGACAUGUCACUGGAGCUCUUUGGCCACGGAGCAGCCCCUCUCUCUGGCCAGCCCAGGGCAGGACCAUCCUGUUGCGAUCAAAACCAUGUCCAUCAAUUCAAAUCAAAACUGCAUUGAGAUACCACCUUACACCAGUUAGAAUGGCAAAAAUUGACAAGGCAAGAAACAACAAAUGUUGGAGAGGUUGUGGAGAAAGAGGAACCCUCUUACACUGUUGGUGGGAAUGCAAGUUGGUACAGCCACUUUGGAAAACAGUGUGGAGGUUCCUCAAAAAAUUAAAAAUAGAGCUACCCUAUGACCCAGCAAUUGCACUCCUGGGUAUUUACCCCAAAGACACAGAUGUAGUGAAAAGAAGGGCCAUAUGCACCCCAAUGUUCAUAGCAGCAAUGUCCGCAAUAGCCAAACUGUGGAAA